UGGGGAAUAUUGGACAAUGGGCGAAAGCCUGAUCCAGCCAUGCCGCGUGUGUGAAGAAGGUCUUCGGAUUGUAAAGCACUUUAAGUUGGGAGGAAGGGCAGUAAGUUAAUACCUUGCUGUUUUGACGUUACCGACAGAAUAAGCACCGGCUAACUCUGUGCCAGCAGCCGCGGUAAUACAGAGGGUGCAAGCGUUAAUCGGAAUUACUGGUCGUAAAGCGCGCGUAGGUGGUUUGUUAAGUUGGAUGUGAAAGCCCCGGGCUCAACCUGGGAACUGCAUCCAAAACUGGCAAGCUAGAGUACGGUAGAGGGUGGUGGAAUGUCCGGUGUAGCGGGGAAAUGCGUAGAUAUAGGAAGGAACACCAGUGGCGAAGGCGACCACCUGGACUGAUACUGACACUGAGGUGCGAAAGCGUGGGGAGCUAACAGG
rnacentral:rRNA from 1 species